rnacentral:lncRNA from 1 species
AAAGGAUUCAGUGAUAGCGUGGUUUUAAAAAAUAUGUCCACAAAUUCUUUGAUAUUCUCCCCUUCAAGAAAUGUAACUUAAGGAUGCUCUUUUUGAGUCCUAAUAGAGAGACCCACAUGGUGAGGGAUUGAAGCCUCCUGCCAACAGCCAUGUAAUUGAACUUGGAAGCAGAUCCUCCAGCUCUUUUAGAAGCAGCUGCAACUCAUGGCGAUCUCAUGAGAGAACUUCAACCAGAACCAUGAACCUAAGCCUCUUCACGUUCCUGACCCU